GAAAGACAGAGGAAGAUGUCUUAUAUGAAAUAUUUCCUCUCUACUGCUCCCUACUGUCAGCACACCCUGACAGGAAUUCUGCUACAUUGUUCAUGAACCCAGUGAAAGAUGUUCACAGUGGUAAGUAACACUUUAUUCCAUGAAGAAGAAACACAGGGCAAGUUCCUUGGACUCCAAUUGCUACAAACCAACUGGGUCCCCAGUCACAGGUCACAAGCAAAUCAACAGACAGCAAAACGCAUGGAAACUCAGAUUCUUGUCCUAGGUUUGCAUGUUGUGAAGAGUCCACGUGUGGUAAAGAAAGGUCAUUUUAAAGGGCCAGUCUUCCUUG